rnacentral:rRNA from 1 species
UGAAAUCUGGUACCUUCGGUGCCCGAGUUGUAAUUUGGAGAGGGCAACUUUGGGGCCGUUCCUUGUCUAUGUUCCUUGGAACAGGACGUCAUAGAGGGUGAGAAUCCCGUGUGGCGAGGAGUGCGGUUCUUUGUAAAGUGCCUUCGAAGAGUCGAGUUGUUUGGGAAUGCAGCUCUAAGUGGGUGGUAAAUUCCAUCUAAAGCUAAAUAUUGGCGAGAGACCGAUAGCGAACAAGUACAGUGAUGGAAAGAUGAAAAGAACUUUGAAAAGAGAGUGAAAAAGUACGUGAAAUUGUUGAAAGGGAAGGGCAUUUGAUCAGACAUGGUGUUUUGUGCCCUCUGCUCCUUGUGGGUAGGGGAAUCUCGCAUUUCACUGGGCCAGCAUCAGUUUUGGUGGCAGGAUAAAUCCAUAGGAAUGUAGCUUGCCUCGGUAAGUAUUAUAGCCUGUGGGAAUACUGCCAGCUGGGACUGAGGACUGCGACGUAAGUCAAGGAUGCUGGCAUAAUGGUUAUAUGCCGCCCGUCUA